GCGACAUUUUGCACUGAAUGGAAAUUCGCCAUUAGGCUACGAAGGCCUAUAUACAUUUGAAAUUGGUAAAGUUAUUUUUCCUUAUGUUCCCAAAUAACUAGCAAGUAUUCUAGAGAAUGGAUAAAUUUCCAAAACUUUCUACGAAUUUAUUGUUGCCAAACCAGCGUUUGUGUCUAUGAAUUUGACUCCUUAUUACCGACGCUUUGUAAUGGGAGUCGAGCCCGCAAUCGUUGGCUCAGGAAUCCGGCGCCUAAUCCGUUAGGGGACGAAGGCAUGAGUUGAAAACAGUUAUAGCUCUUCUGCUUAGAAUUCCGAAUAACUGGAAGCAUUAUGUAUUAUUUACCUCUUUACCCUAUUAAAAUGAAUUUAUUUACGUACCUAAGAAAUUUUGUUUAUUUACC